AUGGCAGUGCAUCAGUGGACAGUGGCGCUCUUUGUGGCUGUCGCCCUCGUGGCGGGGCCAGCCAUCUCGUACGCUGUCGAAACCAGCAAUGCCCUGGCCGGGGCACAACCAAAGGCCACGACCGAGGAGCAGCAGCUAAUUGAGAAGGCCAAUAUCGCCUUCAAGGCGGCUGUGGCGGCCGCAGCCGUGGUCGCUCCAGCGGACAAGUACAAGACAUUCCAGGCCACCUUCAGCCUGAACUUUGGCUGGUCUAUCGAAGGGAUCACCGGCACGUUCAACUUCCAAGCCACUUUCACCACCAGGAUCGCCUUUGCUCAAUUGUCAGCCUACCACUUCGCCAAGGGCGCUACCCUGGAGGCCAAGUACGAAGCCUUCGUGGCCAUCCUAAGCGAGUCGCUCCGCAUCAUCGCCGGCAUCCUCGAGGUCCACGCCGUCAAGCCCGCCGGCGAGGAAGUCAAGGGGGCGAUCCCUGCCGAUGAGCUGAAGGCCAUCGACCAGAUCGACGCUGCCUUUAGGACUGCAGCCGCCGCCGCCGACGCUGCCCCGCUCAAGCACAAGUUCGCCGUCUUCAAGUCCGCCUUCAACAAGGCCAUCAAGGAAACUACAGGCGGUGCAUACGAGGGCUACAAAUUCGUCCCCGACCUCGUGUCCAGCAUCAAGAAGAUCUACGGCAUCACUGUUCCCAAGACGCCCAAGGACAAGCUCUUGGCCUUUGAGUCCGCCCUGAGCAAGACCAUCCUCGCCAUGGCAGCUGCCGCCACCGCCCCUUCCACUCCCACUGCCGCCACUGCCACAGCAACCGCCACUCCCACUCCCGAAAUAUGA
rnacentral:rRNA from 1 species